rnacentral:sRNA from 1 species
GGAUCCGCCGCGCAGUGCCAGCGCCAGCGCCAGACCCGCGCCCCGCGCUCUCCGGCCCGUCGCCUGCCUUGGGACUCACGAGCCCGCACUCCCGCCCUGCCUGUGCGCUGCCCGAGUAUGGAGCUGCUGUGUUGCGAAGGCACCCGGCACGCGCCCCGGGCCGGGCCGGACCCGCGGCUCCUGGGGGACCAGCGUGUCCUGCAGAGCCUACUCCGCCUGGAGGAGCGCUACGUACCCCGCGCCUCCUACUUCCAGUGCGUGCAGCGGGAGAUCAAGCCGCACAUGCGGAAGAUGCUGGCUUACUGGAUGCUGGAGGACUGGGAGGUGCUGGUCCUAGGGAAGCUCAAGUGGGACCUGGCUGCUGUGAUUGCACAUGAUUUCCUGGCCCUCAUUCUGCACCGGCUCUCUCUGCCCCGUGACCGACAGGCCUUGGUCAAAAAGCACGCCCAGACCUUUUUGGCCCUCUGUGCUACAGGUAAGAGCCCUGUGCACAUUUUUGCCAAAUUGGAAAAAUCCGAAGACUUAUAAGGGUGAGAGGUAACUAGAAGAUUCUGGUUUAUACUGUCAAAAUUCCUUUGUGAAAAUUACACCCCCUCUGAGCCCCCAGUCUCAAUGCAGAAAAGCAGGUUAUAAUCAGCUCUAUGGGAUCUCAGACCCCUCCAGUUUGUAGCGGGGACACUAAGGGUAUAGAGAGAAGUGACUUGCUCAAGGUCUCACAGUGAACAGGUUGGGAACAGAACCCCAGUCUCUUGGCCCUAGUUGUGUUCCCACACUAGGGAGUGUCUUGUCUAUUCCCGGGACCUAUGGAAACUGGCAGUUGGUCCUGAUCUCUAGGAAAGAUACUCUUUCCUGUCUUCCUCCCUUGCUGAUAUCUUGCCCCACCCACUGCUGGAGUUUUCCAGCAUGUCCUCUGCUCUACUCAUGCUG